rnacentral:rRNA from 1 species
AGUGAACGCUGGCGGCGUGCUUAACACAUGCAAGUCGAGCGGUAAGGCCCUUUCGGGGGUACACGAGCGGCGAACGGGUGAGUAACACGUGGGUGACCUGCCCUCAGCUCUGGGAUAAGCCUGGGAAACCGGGUCUAAUACUGGAUAUGACUCCAUGACGCAUGUUGUGGGGUGGAAAGCCUUGUGCGGCUGAGGAUGGGCCCGCGGCCUAUCAGCUUGUUGGUGGGGUGAUGGCCUACCAAGGCGA